CGUCGCUUAACGGAAGAAGGCUCGAGUAGCAGCGGCGCAGCCAGGGCACCUGGGGGUGACACACGAGUGGGCGGGCGGUCCAGGGAGCCCCUGCUGGAAACCAGACGCUAAACCUUGCAGCUGUGCAGCUAAGGGAGCAUCUAUUUUCCAUUUGAGAGCAACGCGGGCAAGCGAGAACGGCCCGAUUUCGGUGCAGGGGUGCAUCCCGAGGGGGCGGGGGGCUGUUUCUGCGGCGGACCGGGCAGGGGAAACCGAGGCCACGCUGGAUCCGCAGCCCCGAGGUGUCCACGAGAGCUCCGCUCGCGCGAGGGCGCGGCGCGAGGCUGCCCGCAGGACCGGCCUGCGGUGCGAGCGGCCAAUGAGUGGAUAAAGAAAAUGUGAUAUAUAUACACUAUGGAAUACUACUCGGCCGUAGAAGGAAUGAAGUAAUGGCAUUGGCAGCAACCUGGAUGGAGUUGGAGACCAUUAUUCUAAGUGAAGUAACUCAAGAAUGGAAAACCAAAUAUUGUAUGUUCUCACUCAUAAGUGGGAGCUAAGCUGUGAGGAUGCAAAGGCUUAAGAAUGAUAUAGUAGACUCUGGGGACUCGAGGGGUGAGGGAUAAAAGACUACACAUUGGGUACACUGUGCGCUGCUUGGGUGAUGAGUGCACCAAAAUCUCAGAACUGACCACUGAAGAACUUCCUCAUGUAACCAGAAACCACCUGUUCCACAAAAACUAUCGAAAUAACAUUUUUUAAACUUUACUAUUUCUGGAUAAAAUUUACAUAGAUUUCUCAGAAAAAAAAUAUUUAGAAUUGAGGUAUCUAUUAGAGAACUGAGUUAAAUUAUUACUACUUAAAAACACAGAAAGUGGUAUAGCCACUUUAUGAAUUUAUCAGUUAGCAAUGGCUAGGUUAUGCUUAGUGGUUUAUAACCAAAUCUUAGUAGUUUAUAAUAACAAAUGUGUAUUGUUAAUUCCCACUACAAAUUUAUCAUGACAAUGCUGGGUGGGGGAGAAGUCAACAAAACAUGCCCUGGUUCGUGAAGCUUUGGCCCAGAAGUAAAAUGUAUCUUCUCUGUUCACAUUGCACUGGGCCAGGGAAAUUAUCGUGGCCACAAGUGACUUCAAAAGGAUGGGGAAGUGCAAUCUUGGCAUUGUCAGAAGAAGUGAAAACAUUUGGUGAAGAGCAUUAAUGACUGUCUUUACAGGAAAAAAACAAUCAAAUAGACAUGAUUUCUUGUUUCAGUUUCAUCAUUUCCUACUGUGUUACCUAAACUUUCUGAGCCUCAGUUUCUUAUUACUAAAAUAGAAUAAUGAUAAAGAUGAUAUUCAUGUCAAGGACUUUGUGUUAACUAGAGAAAAAAAAAUUGAAAACUGUAGCAAGUUACGCAAAUUAGAAAUGUAUAAUAUUACUGCUUUGAAAGUGAUGGUGAAAUGUAGAAUAAUUGAGAGGAUAAUGCAAAGCACUUAUACCAGGAGGCUUUUAGCUGCAGGUAAUAGAAAUGAACUUCCACUACUUUAAUCGAUAAAAAAGUGUGUUGGCUCACAAAUUUGUCAUCCAGACAUAAAGGAAGCUUCAGAAUUCAUUGACUCAGGAGUUGAAUGUUAGUAUCGAGGACCUAGAUUUUUCUCAUCUGCACUUCAAUUCUCAAUGCCCGAUUCAACAUCAGGCUGUAGUAAGAUGGCUAGAGUGAUUCCAGGGAUAACAUCUAGAGAGAAAAAAGAGAACUCCUUUUCUUACGAUUUUUCUCUUAAGAGAAAAGGAACUUCCCAAAAGCCCCCAGCAAGCAUACCUUCACAUCCCAUGGCCAGAAGUGGCUCACAUAUGUACCCUGAGCUAAGCACUGCAAACAGGAAUGGGAUUGCCCGUAGGCCUCGGAGACCACCUGGAUCUUGGGAAGGUGUCAGCUCUACCUGUGGCACUUGGCUGAGUGGGAAAGGGAUGGAAACAUGAAUAAAGUAAGAAUUAGGAAGGAAAAGGAGAAAUGGAUCCAGGGUAGGAAGCCAAUAGUUGUAGUUAUCUCAAACAAAUAUGAUUGAUUUCAUCUUUAUAAAUGUGAUGACCUAAUUUAAUACAUUCAAUCAAUGAAGUAAAAGAAAGUGCAAGGACAAUAUGGCAUCUGUCUGUCUCUGUUGAGAUUUGAGAGAUAAUACCAAGAACAUGUGGUGACCUGGGUCCUCACUGCUACUGUCUUUCUGUACCUGGACGCUUCCUAGCAAGAGACUUCAACUUCAGAACAAAGAGGAUCCCAACUUGUAACUGCAUUAUACACACCCCAGCCGCACACAUAAGUUGCUUUCUAAUUAUUCCUCUUUAAGAAAUUGUUUGUAGAAUAUUUAUCUAUGUAUAAAUGGAAAAAUAGAAAAUUAAAAUAACAAAAAUAAGUAA